rnacentral:Y_RNA from 1 species
GAUAGGUCCGAGGGUAAUGAGUUAUCUUAUUACCCUCAACUGAUUGGUCAUGACCAAUUACAGAUGAAACUUCUUUUUUUACUUUCCCCACCCCCACUACUGCACUUGAUUAGUCAAUA